rnacentral:lncRNA from 1 species
AUUAAUCCAGUGUGUUGAGAGCUACAUUCUUCUGAGAGACUCCUCCCAUGUUUCCAACCUGGGCAACUUGUCUUGUAUUAUUAGUCUGUGGAUUAAAAUUGCUCCUUCAUAAAAUAUCAUACUCUGGAAAGAAACUCAGGCAACAGGCUGUACAGAAGUUCAUGACGAUAUAUAGCCUCCCGCUGUAUAUGAGAAUCCUCACACAAGCUCCCAUAGGAGUCCAUAGUACUUCUGUCACUGAUUUCAAUAACAGAAAAGACUGGCUUCAAGAAUACAAGUAAAACAGCUCAUCUGAUCUUUCCUAGGCUCUGUUUGAAGAGACAACAUUUCCACACAGCUGCUCAAAAACAUGUCUGUUUUCCACCCGAGUCUUAAUACCUGAGCUUCAGGGAGUAGCACUGAACAGCAGCACAGGGUCUUUGGCUUAUUUGCAUGAAUUAAUCACAGGAACACAGCUUCCAGAUUAGAUGGCAUUGUCCCAAAGGGUUAAUGCCUUACAUGCUCAGAUGGAUGCUGCCCAAAAGCGCAGUGCCUUGGAUGUGCACUGAGAAUGAAAGAAACUGGAAGUUCYGUCGCACACAAUUAUGGAGAACAAAGCUCCAGCCUUUUAAAUUAAAAUUCUUGAACACCAGAUGUGUAGACACGAUGUAUUUAUUUUUGACCUUCCAAUUUAAGAGGGAAAAGAGAACUGGCUAAAUUAAUCCCUGGUGUAACCUAGUUGACAUCACUGGAGUUACCCUAGGAAUAAGCUUGAAUUUGCUACAUCUUAGACACAAUGACAUAAAUGACUUCAAAAAAUUCAUACCACUUUGGAUCUAACACAAGCUUAGGAAUGACCUAUGCAGUAGAUCUAAUUAGACGGAUUUGAGGUUUUGGCCUUUUAAUGAGAAAGUAGGCUUCACCGUGCAAUUGUUAACUUGCCUCUAUAAACAUGUUUAUUAACAGUUGUACAGAGCACCCUGCUAAUUAAUGAAAGCCUUGCGCUUGAUUUUGAAAAUUAUUAAAGUUAAUACUGAAAUUAUUAAAACUUCAAUUGGUAUUUAAGUUUCACAGUAAUUCUGCUUUUGUGACCUUUUCUUGACCUGAUAAGGAUAAAAACGCUUUCUUCUUGUUUACACAGCGAGCUUCUCAGGCUCACACUCCACCUUGCCAAACAGCCAACAGAGCCUCCUGAUUAAAAACCGGUAAUAAAGCCUUAUGGGGGCACA